UACGAAGGGUGCAAGCGUUAAUCGGAAUUACUGGGCGUAAAGCGUGCGUAGGCGGUUUCUUAGGUCCGUUGUGAAAGCCCUGGGCUCAACCUGGGAACUGCGAUGGAUACUGAGGAGCUGGAGUACGGUAGAGGAAGGUGGAAUUCCCGGUGUAGCGGUGAAAUGCGUAGAGAUCGGGAGGAACAUCAGUGGCGAAGGCGGCCUUCUGGACCAGUACUGACGCUGAGGCGCGAAAGCUAGGGGAGCAAACGGG
rnacentral:rRNA from 1 species